UAGCUCAGUCGGUAAAGAAUCUGCCUGCAAUGCAGGAGACUCAGGUUCGACUCCUGU
rnacentral:tRNA from 1 species